rnacentral:rRNA from 1 species
AGCAGCCGCGGUAAUUCCAGCUCCAAUAGCGUAUAUUAAAGUGCUGCAGUAAAAAGCUCGUAGUUGAAUUCGGGACCAAUAUGUCGGUCGUGCCUCGGUACGUACUGGCAUCGUUGGUUUCUCCCUUCUGACGAACCAUGAUGUCAUUUAUUUGGUGUCGUGGGGAAUCAGGACUGUUACUUUGAAAAAAUUAGAGUGUUUAAAGCAGGCUCACGCUUGAAUACAUUAGCAUGGAAUAAUGAAAUAGGACGUUUGAUUCUAUUUUGUUGGUUUCUAGGAUCGACGUAAUGAUUAAUAGGGAUAGUUGGGGGCAUUAGUAUUCAAUUGUCAGAGGUGAAAUUCUUGGAUUUAUUGAAGACUAACUACUGCGAAAGCAUUUGCCAAGGAUGUUUUCAUUAAUCAAGAACGAAAGUUAGGGGAUCGAAGACGAUCAGAUACCGUCGUAGUCUUAACCAUAAACUAUGCCGACUAGGGAUCGGAUGAUGU